AUAUUACUAAGCGGAGGAAAAGAAACCAACUGGGAUUCCCUCAGUAGCGGCGAGUGAACAGGGACAAGCUCACACUGAAGCGGCCCGGGAAAACCGGCACCGCGUUGUGGUGUAAGGAUUCAGGGUUCCAUCCCUGCUCAUCAUACCUAACCUUGUGUCGAAGCAACACAAUGCGUACAGCAACAUAGUGGGUGAUAUUCCCCAAAGGUAUGGUGGGCUAGGUAUAUGUGUUCCCGGUCUCCGACGAGUAGGUCUAUUUUGGAGUAUAGACUGAAGCAGGGAGGUAGAUACCUUCCAAAGCUAAAUACUGAGCUAGGAUUCCGAUAGCAAACAAGUACCGCAAGGGAAAGUUGAAAAGCACUCUGAAGAGAGAGUGAAACAGCACGUGAAAUCAUUAUGAGUCAAUCGUGCACUGGAGCUCGUAGAAGACCUGGCCAGUUCAGGGUCGUGUCAACCUUCCUCGGGGGGAACACGGCUUGUAUUUCUGGUUAGGUCAACACUCCAGGCUCGACCCCAAUCCUAUUAAGGCUUCUUAUGUUGCGAGUCCUUGUGGCUCGGGCAUAGGUUUGAUUAAGGAGGAGCUAAAGGGUCGAGAGCCGAUUUCCAUCCUCUCGCGGGUCCUCGGGCCUAGCUAG
rnacentral:rRNA from 1 species